rnacentral:rRNA from 1 species
CACGUAGGGUGCGAGCGUUGUCCGGAAUUAUUGGGCGUAAAGAGCUCGUAGGCGGUGUGUCGCGUCGGCCGUGAAAACCUGCAGCUUAACUGUGGGCUUGCGGUCGAUACGGGCAUCACUGGAGUUCGGCGAGGGAGACUGGAAUUCCUGGUGUAGCGGUGAAAUGCGCAGAUAUCAGGAGGGAACACCGGUGGGCGAAGGCGGGUCUCUGGGCCGAUAACUG